rnacentral:rRNA from 1 species
AGUGAACGCUGGCGGUAGGCCUAACACAUGCAAGUCGAACGGCAGCACAGUAAGAGCUUGCUCUUACGGGUGGCGAGUGGCGGACGGGUGAGGAAUACAUCGGAAUCUACUUUUUCGUGGGGGAUAACGUAGGGAAACUUACGCUAAUACCGCAUACGACCUACGGGUGAAAGCAGGGGAUCUUCGGACCUUGCGCGAUUGAAUGAGCCGAUGUCGGAUUAGCUAGUUGGCGGGGUAAAGGCCCACCAAGGCGACGAUCCGUAGCUGGUCUGAGAGGAUGAUCAGCCACAAUGGAACUGAGACAAGGUCCAGACUCCUAAGGGAGGCAGCAGUGGGGAAUAUUGGACAAUGGGCGCAAGCCUGAUCCAGCCAUACCGCGUGGGUGAAGAAGGCCUUCGGGUUGUAAAGCCCUUUUGUUGGGAAAGAAAAGCAGCAGGUUAAUACCCCACUGUUCUGACGGUACCCAAAGAAUAAGCACCGGCUAACUUCGUG